rnacentral:rRNA from 1 species
AUGUUAGGAUCGGCUGGCUCAUCCUCAUCAUCCGAAAACAAAACAAAGACACAGAUUUGAUUCAAUGACAUAUCUAAUCAGACUGAAAUUGAUGUCGAAGACACGGUCAUUCACAUCAAUUGAAGCAUGCAGGAAGGGUGCAAAAGCUACCGUUUAACGAAUGCAAUGCAAGCAAGGUAG